rnacentral:lncRNA from 10 species
GGAAGUUUGAACAAGACCCAUUCCAGGGCAAUGAAGGGCAGAAUGUUAAGAGGUACUGAUGAAAUACAUGGCUGAUCUCUAUGUGGGUGAUGGUCUGGCUACUUGAUAGCCAGGGAAAUCUGGGGUCCUUGGAAGGCAGAGGGCACAGGACGCUGGUUCUGGCUGUCACUUGGAUAGCUAUGUAGUUGGUGGGCAAGUGACUUGCCUUGGGGAAAAUGGCUUUGCCACUAAGAACAUAGGCCCUGGAAUUAGGCAUUUCUGGGCUUGAAUCCUAGUUCUACCCCAGGGAGAAGGCAAUGUUCUAGAUAGAAACUGCUUUAUUGGCCUGGGUUUCUUGGAGCGAAGAAACAUUGAGGAGCAGAUCCCCCAGCUGAUUCAGCAGACGUGCAGCAGAAGCCGACGGAAACCUCUGCUGUUUUAAGGUGGUGAACCUAGAGGAGAGGAUCUGAAUCCCUGAUCAGUCGGUCCAGGUUUGGCUUCCUUUCUGUGCAGCUCAGAUGAGUGACUUUGGGACACUGGGGAUCAGAGAGUGAAGAACUUGCCUAUGGUCACACACCUGGCCCCCAUACUCCCUGAGACACAACAACAUUGAUAUUAGACCAGUUAAUAACUCUACAAUGGCCUGUAAGUGUUCAAGUGAAAGGAAGAGUCGCAUAUCUCUCACUGUAAAUCAAAAACUAGAAAUGAUUAGGCUCAAUGAGGAAGCCACGUUGAAAGCUGAGAAAGGCUGAAAGUAGGCUUCUUGUGCCAAAUAGUUAGUCAAGUUGUGAAUGCAAAGAAAACAGGCUUGAAGGAAAUUUAAAGUGCUACUUCAGUGAACACAUGAAUAAUAAGAAAGUGAAUCAGCAUUAUUGCUAAUAGAAAGGAAGUUUCAGUGGUCUGGAUAGAAGAUCAAAUCAGCCAUAACAUUCCCUUAAGCCAAACCCUAAUCCAGAGCAAGGCUCUAACUUUCUUAAAUUCUGUGAAGGCUGAUAGAGAUGAGGAAGCUGCAGAAGGAAAGCUUGAAGCUAGCAGAGAUUGGUCCAUGGGGUUUAAGGAAAGAAACCGUUUCCAUAACGUAAAAGUGGAAGGUGAAGCAGCAAGUACUUAUGUAGAAGCUGCAGCAAGUUAUUCAGAAGAUUUAGCUAGGAACAUUGAUGAAGAUGGCUACAUUAAAUAACAGAUCUUCAAGGUAGAUGAAAUAGCCUUCUAUUGGAAGAAGAU